rnacentral:tRNA from 2 species
GCCGACGUAGCUCAACAGGCAGAGCAGCGGUCUUGUAAACCGCAGGCUAGGGGUUCGAGUCCCCUCGUCGGCUCCA